UACGUAGGGUGCGAGCGUUGUCCGGAAUUACUGGGCGUAAAGAGCUCGUAGGUGGUUUGUCGCGUUGUUCGUGAAAACUCACAACUCAAUUGUGGGCGUGCGGGCGAUACGGGCAGACUGGAGUACUGCAGGGGAGACUGGAAUUCCUGGUGUAGCGGUGGAAUGCGCAGAUAUCAGGAGGAACACCGGUGGCGAAGGCGGGUCUCUGGGCAGUAACUGACGCUGAGGCGCGAAAGCCAGGGGAGCAAACGGG
rnacentral:rRNA from 1 species